rnacentral:lncRNA from 1 species
UAUCUUUGUAGCAGUGCCCAACUCCUGCCACAAAUUUUCUGUAUUAGUCCAUUUUCAGAUGUCUGCUUUGGGACUCCCAAACUUAGAAAAACCUUUCACCUUCUACGUGGCUAAAAACAAGGGACAGCUACAGGUGUUUUAACAAAAAGGCUCGGGAAUAUUCCUAAACCAAUGGCUUAUUUCUCUAAACAGAUCAGGUGGCAGCCAGAUGGCCAGCAUGCUUGCAAGCUUUGGCUGCCACUGCUCUAUAGGUAGAAGAAUCCAGUAAGUUUACCUUGGGACAACAAUUAGAUGUUAUGACCUCCCCACCAAGUAUGG